rnacentral:tRNA from 4 species
GGGCUAGUAGCUCAGCUGGCUAGAGCACACGACUGAUAAUCGUGAGGUCGAAGGUUCAAGUCCUUCCUGGCCCACCA